rnacentral:rRNA from 1 species
UACGGGAAGGCAGCAGUGGGGAAUAUUGCACAAUGGGCGAAAGCCUGAUGCAGCUAUGCCGCGUGUAUGAAGAAGGCCUUAGGGUUGUAAAGUACUUUCAUCGGGGAGGAAAAAACAAAACUAAUAAUUUUAUUUCUUGACGUUACCCGAAAAAGAAGCACCGGCUAACUCCGUGCCAGCAGCCGCGGUAAUACGGAGGGUGCUAGCGUUAAUCAGAAUUACUGGGCGUAAAGAGCACGUAGGUGGUUUUUUAAGUCAGAUGUGAAAUCCCUGGGCUUAACCUAGGAACUGCAUUUUGAAACUGAAAUACUAGAGUAUCGUAGAGGGAGGUAGAAUUCUAGGUGUAGCGGUGAAAUGCGUAGAUAUCUGGAGGAAUACCUGUGGCGAAAGCGGCCUCCUAAACGAAUACUGACACUGAGGUGCGAAAGCGUGGGGAGCAAACGAGGGAUUAGAUACC